UACGUAGGUGGCAAGCGUUGUCCGGAUUUACUGGGCGUAAAGAGCGCGCAGGCGGUCGGAUAAGUCGAAUGUGAAAGCCCCCGGCUCAACUGGGGAGGGUCAUUCGAUACUGUUCGACUCGAAGGCAGGAGAGGGAAGUGGAAUUCCCGGUGUAGUGGUGAAAUGCGUAGAUAUCGGAAGGAACACCUGUGGCGAAAGCGGCUCACUGGACCAUUACUGACGCUGAGGCGCGAAAGCUAGGGGAGCGAACGGG
rnacentral:rRNA from 1 species